AGAGAAAUCUGUUUUCUCUUAUCCCAUUCUCCAAUCUUCUUUUUCUUUAUAUUUCUUUGUUUGUCUUCUCUUUCUUCUCUAUGUCCUGUUCUUCGACUGUGAGAGAUUUAUGAUACGAGAGAAUCAUUUGUUGAACCUAUCUAGUAGAUAAUGAAGAUGGCGUGAUUGUACUUUAUGGAGAAGAUCAAUUGAAAAUUGAUUUAGUUUCGAGAUAACCUGAGAAGAACGAGUUGAAGGUUUGUUGUUUCUUUGGAGAUUAAGUGAGGUUGAUGAUAGAAUCGAUCAUUUUAUGAUGGAUUUUGUUUAUUUAAGAAAAGGGAGAAGAAUUAGAUGUUGAUUCAGGAAUUUUAGUGAAGAACUGAAGAGCUAGGGUUUCUAUGUUGAAUCUGAAGUUGGGUUCAUCUGAUUUUGAGACUAUUUGGAGUCGGAUAGGCAUGCUGUGUUGAUGAUUCAUGAAGGAUAGAAGGGGUGGUUGUUGAAUCAAAGUUCUGAAGUCGUCUUAAUGAUAAAUUGAGGAAUCAGGAUUUCUCAGAAGAUUGAAUAGGAGGUCUAUUAUUGAUGAAUAAGAUGAAAUUAGAGAUGGGUUGGACCCGAAAUAGGUUACGAAGUUGAAUAAUAUCAUGAGUUCGAUAGUUAGGGUUUGAAGUUUUGAAUCAGAGGUUGAAUUGAAACUGAUAAAGGACUCGGAUUUGAUUCUUGUGUUAAGAAUGUGAUGGGUUUAUUACUAAUGUUAAAUCAAACUCGGGAAGAAUGAAAGGAUUUCUGUGAAUUUAAUUGGGAAUGGAAUUCUAUGAAUAAGGAUGUUUGGGUAAGUGAUCUGUAUUGGGGUUGAGAUGUCAUUGAUGUUGCUGAGACAGGUGGUGGUGUUGAUUGAGAGUAGGUUAUGUUAAAUUGGGUUGUAGUUGAAGUUGAAUUGAGGGGGAUGUAUUGGUCUAUAAUGAACUGAAUGAUAAUAGUGGAAUUGAGGAUAUUGAAUUUGAAGAACAUAGAGUUGUUGAUGCUGUUUGGUUUCAAAUAGGUUCAAGUAUAUGAUGAAUGUUUAGGAUGUUAUUAUGGUGAGAAUGAGUUCUGCUGAGUGUUAAAGCAUUGAACUGAGAUGGGAAUUGAAUUGGAUUGAAGCAGUUCAUUUCUUAGCGGCAGUUGUGAGGAUUUUGGAGUUACAAGUGUACCUCAGUGAGAAGAAUGGUCUUACAGCUGAGGGUGUUGUGUAUGGAGAUGGAUGAAUUUUAUUGUUGUUGUUGUUGUUGUUGUUUAGAGUUGGAGUUGUAGUUAGUGUUUGCUGUGAAAGAUUGGAACUGCAAUUGCAGGUAGACAUAGUCUUUGUUUGUAAAUAGAAUUUGAAGUUUGUUUACUUUAUUUUGAAUUGAUGUUGAAAUAUAAAAUUGG